rnacentral:rRNA from 1 species
GNCANUCAAGUCUGCUGUCAAAGGCCGAGGCUCAACUUCGGAAAGGCAGUGGAAACUGAAAAGCUAGAGGUCGUAGGGGCAGAGGGAAUUCCCAGUGUAGCGGUGAAAUGCGUAGAUAUUGGGAAGAACACCGGUGGCGAAAGCGCUCUGCUGGGCCNGANCCUGACGCUGAGGGACGAAAGCUAGGGGAGCGAAUGGGAUUAGAUACCCCCAGUAGUCCUAGCCGUAAACGAUGGAGACUAGGUGUUGCCUGUAUCGGCCCGGGCAGUGCCGAAGCCAACGCGUUAAGUCUCCCGCCUGGGGAGUACGCACGCAAGUGUGAAACUCAAAGGAAUUGACGGGGGCCCGCACAAGCGGUGGAGUAUGUGGUUUAAUUCGAUGCAACGCGAAGAACCUUACCAGGGCUUGACAUCCCGCGAAUCUCGGCGAAAGUUGAGAGUGCCUACGGGAACGCGGAGACAGGUGGUGCAUGGCUGUCGUCAGCUCGUGUCGUGAGAUGUUGGGUUAAGUCCCGCAACGAGCGCAACCCUCGUCCUUAGUUGCCAUCCUUAAGUGGGGCACUCUAGGGAGACUGCCGGUGAUAAACUGGAGGAAGGUGGGGAUGACGUCAAGUCAUCAUGCCCCAUAUGUCCUGGGCGACACACGUACUACAAUGGUCGGGACAGCGAGCAACCAACUUGCGAAAGUGAGCUAAUCUCUCAAACCCGGCCUCAGUUCAGAUUGCAGGCUGCAACUCGCCUGCAUGAAGGAGGAAUCGCUAGUAAUCGCAGGUCAGCAUACUGCGGUGAAUCCGUUCCCGGGCCUUGUACACACCGCCCGUCACACCAUGGAAGUCGGCCAUGCCCGAAGUCAUUACU